GUGAGUAACUUGCUCCAGGUCAGUAUGGUAGGUAGUGGUAAAGCCAAUAUUCAAAGCCUGGCACCUGCACUAGAGCCUGAACUCUCCUCCAUACAGACUGUGCUUCUUCCUCAGAAACAUGGGAAUGAGAAUACCUUUCUUUUAGAAUUGCUGUGAGCAAAAAAAUAUGUAUGGGAAAGGACUUCCCAGCAUUUUUAGUACAUAGCAGGUUUUUGUUAUUUCUGUGAAAUGUAGCAGAGUUGAGGAAACAGAAC
rnacentral:lncRNA from 1 species